ensembl:lncRNA
AUCGUGACAGGGUUGGAGCAUAGCGGUAGCUGCCAGAAGACUGCUCAGCCUUCAUCGGCACAGGCUUGAGUUAGGGAGAGAACCAGCGGCAAGACAUGUAGCAGCAUGCAGCUCUGGAACAGCAGCACCUCGGGAUGUUGCUGUUUGGAGAUUGAGUCUAAUGUGAGGUUAAUGUACCUGACUAAGGGGCUUGCAAAGACAGCACACAACUAAGAUCAUGCAUUUGGAUAAGCCAGGCGAAGGCAAAGGCGAAGUCAGUCCACAGAGGAAGAGGGGAAUCCAGUCGUACCGGUAGCCCUGCGUGGAUUGGCUGGCCGCAAGGAUCUCUGGUGAUCUGAGGAUCUCGGAGAGCCCUGGAUGGGGGUACAUAGGGCUCACCCAGGCACAGCAUGGAUGCAUGCUGUUACUGGGUCCACCCUUGGACAUACUUUUUACGUUUUUGUUCAUCCCUUGUGCUGAUAUUUUCCAUCCAAGCCCUUAUUUUUUGUAUGCAUGACUGCUCACUGCUAUCUAAUUUCCUGUCAAAGUCUGCUAAUCUUGCUAUUGCACAAUGUAAUACGCCUAGUUAAUAGUGUCAGGCUCACUAGCAUAUUUGCUUUAUUUGUCACUCGACCGCACACACAAACACAAAUGUAAUACUGGCUUGUGCGCGGGUCAAUCAAUGGUGUUCUCACUGAUCAUUUCAUGUGACAUUGUGUUUGACUUCGCAAUACUUUCUUUACAGUGAUAACAGCGAAGCAUUGAAUGAUAUUUUCACGAGGAACUGAGCAACUGUCAGACGAUAGAAUAUUAUCCAUGUUACUUGAGUGGCAGCUAGGAAGGUGAAAGAGAGAUGAUUAGGCUAGCAUUUGAAAAGACAAGAAAUACAUACCAGUCAUAUCAGAUGUAAAAAAUGAGCUUGGCUCUCUUGGUGUUUCCGUUUUUUCAGAAAUGUUACAUUAGAUGUUAAUGAUACUCACAUUUUUCAAUUUAACUGAAAAUAGGCUUGGAAAAAACACAUUUCUCUAUACGGUUCUAAUUCUACUUGAGAUGAAUCGAAGGUCCAACACUGCAUAACUUGAGGAGGUUAAUCCCAUGUCCGUGCUGAAGAGAUCAGUGUUUUCCAUCGCUGUAACUCAACCCCUGUAACAAAGACAUCUGUAAAUUCAUGGGUUCCAUUGAAAUCCAAUGUAAAAUGACCUUCACCUGACUGGUCCCUGAAUUGCUAUCACACGACACAGAAGAGCAAGACUCUAGACUAGAGGGAAACUUCUUUCUUUACUUUUGGAUUAGAUAUCAAAUAAAGGGG